rnacentral:rRNA from 1 species
GCUAUGUUGGCCGGGCGACGGUUGUCCCGGUUUAAGCGUGUAGGCUGGUUUUCCAGGCAAAUCCGGAAAAUCAAGGCUGAGGCGUGAUGACGAGGCACUACGGUGCUGAAGCAACAAAUGCCCUGCUUCCAGGAAAAGCCUCUAAGCAUCAGGUAACAUCAAAUCGUACCCCAAACCGACACAGGUGGUCAGGUAGAGAAUACCAAGGCGCUUGAGAGAACUCGGGUGAAGGAACUAGGCAAAAUGGUGCCGUAACUUCGGGAGAAGGCACGCUGAUAUGUAGGUGAAGCGACUUGCUCGUGGAGCUGAAAUCAGUCGAAGAUACCAGCUGGCUGCAACUGUUUAUUAAAAACACAGCACUGUGCAAACACGAAAGUGGACGUAUACGGUGUGACGCCUGCCCGGUGCCGGAA